AAAAAAAGUUGGCUUAUCUUUCAACUAAGAGCUACUACUCAAAGAGGUAGUGCUUGUCCACGGCCUCAGAAACAUCCCAGGUGCAUUUCAUGCCAUUUGGGAACACCACCAGGUCACCAGCCCCGAUCUCCACAAAGUCGUCAUGCCCAUCGGGGAAAACCUUCACCUUGCCCUCAAGCAGAUAACAUGUCUCCUUCGCCGUAUAAGUCCAUGGGAAUUUGCUUGGAG
rnacentral:misc_RNA from 1 species